rnacentral:tRNA from 1 species
GCCGGAAUGGCUGUUCAACUUCGCCGGAAUACGCACCAAGGUCGGGGUCGCGAGUUCGAGUCUCGUUUCCCGCUCCA